GGAAGGAGCGCCUGGAGGGAGGGGCGGAUGGAGGCUGGGAGCUGUUUCCCGGACCCCCGACCCAGGCGGGGACGCGGGGACGCGGGGACCGAUCCCAGGGCCUGUAGGAGACGAGCGCGGCAGGACGCGGCGAGCCGCUGGAGCCAGGCGCCUGCAAGGUACAACCUCAGCUCCCGCGGCCUGGGCGCGAACGCAAACGCGAGGCGUCGGGGCAGCGGCGUCAGGCGUGACGUCAACACGUUCACCGGAGAGGACCCCCGGACGACAGGGGAGCCCCGCCCCUCUCCCGACCUGCUCCAAUCAGUGACGGAGAAGCCCUGAGCUCCGGAACGGUGGUUUCCAGGGAGACCGGAGACUCAGUCUUGGCUCCACCCACACCGCCGGCCUGAGCCACACUUCCAAGUGGUUUUGGAUGUAAACGGUUGAUGUGAAGACAGGACGUACCGCUUUAUGAGCCUUUUCAUGAUCUGCUGUCGGAGGAGAAGAGGGGAGCGCAUCAGCAGUGAGGCACGGAGUAGCCUGGGUGCUGUUCUCCAAAGAGCCUCACAUGCCUGCCGAGCAAACAGCUCGGGGAGAGAAAGUCUGUAUGACUCUCUACAGAGGAAUCACGCAGGUUUCAGAAUUCAACUCUUUUUUUAUCUUCUACUGAGACUAACUGCAUAAUUCGCAAGCACCUUCCCACCCCCAAGAACGGAAAAAGCUUUGUAAAAAGCUUAAGAUGGAAGAUUUGAAUUCAUGAUUUCUUUUUCCAGUAUGGAUUCUCUUUCAGGUGUGUUGGCACUGCAAUGUCAUUAUAGACAUUACCUUAUUUCUCUCCAUUAAAAAACAAACAAACAAACCUGAAUCUAUGCGUAAUAGAGAGAAUUUGGAAAACACAGGGAAGAACGAAAGAAAUAAAGUCAUCAACUAGCCCACCACCCAAGAGAAUCUCUGUUGUUGCUUCGGUGUGCUUCCUUCCAGUCCCUUUUCUUUUAUUCUGUUAUGCUCUACUCUGUCCUCUCGUAGCAAGACGUAGGGUGAACAUAUUCAGUCUAAAUGAACGCUCUCGCAGGAUAAUUGUUUAUCCCUAAGGGAAAACUUACGCCGGAGCUCUACCUCCUACCAGGCACAGAAGUGAACUCAUAACGUGCAUCUUAACAUGAAAGACAAAGCCUUUCACCUCUUCAGAAGACAGUACCAAAGAGUGUAAACUCAGAGCUGCACGUUUUCUAACAAGAUAAAAGAUUCCAAUCAUAAUAGAAAGGUUGACAAAUUGAACUUUGUUGCAGUUAAAAUUUUGUGAAAACUUCUGUUUAUGAAGAGACCAUAAAGAAAGUGGACAGGCAAGCCCCAAACUGGGAGAAAAUAUUGGCAAUACUCGUAACCGAUAGUGAAUUUGGAUUCAAAAUAUGUGAAGAACUUUAACUCCAUAUGACAAACUCAGUGAACCCGUAGAAGAAGGGGCAAAAGACAGAGAUUUCACAGAAAAGGAACCAUGAAUGUUCAAUAAACAUGUAAAACAAUCCUCGACUCUUAGGAAAAUGCAAAUUACAAGGAAAAUGGAAUUUUACAUCUAAAAAGGGAAGAAAUAAUAAAUCGUAUAAUGCCAAGUAUGGAAAGGGUGUGGAUCAACAGGAUUUUUAUACUCUUAUGCAGAGAUUUUCAGCCUUUUCCAUGUAAUGGCACACACAGACUAGUUACUAAAAUUCUUUAGCACAGCAAAAAAUGCAUUUUGUGCUGAUCUAACAAAAACGUAAGUAUAAUUUGGAUUCAUUCACACUGGACGGCUACUCUUGUGUUGGCUGUUGCCAUUUCUUAUUUGACACUCUACGGGAAACAAGGCCAGUGCCCUGGACUAGAUAGUCAGGUGUCGCAGGCUGUAGAAGUCCUUGGGGCAGCUGAAAAUCGCCGCUGUGGCGGCGUGAGUAUAAACAGACCCCUGUGAAAAGCAAUCUGGCGCUUCCUGUCAGAGCUGAACAUCUGGGGACGCUUUUGCCCAGCAAGUCCGCCCCUUGGUACAGCGCCUGGGGAAACAUCAUCCACGUAUGUAGACCAAGAGACGUAAACAACGUUUACAGCAAUCUUGUCCAAAAUAGCAAAAACUACCCCCCAAAACAAAAACGGAAAGCAAUCUACACAAGCAUCGACAAGAGACUAGACACGCGGGGGCAGGUUGCACAACACGAUGUUACCGUGUUCACUAAAGAAAUCAGUGAACCGGAGCCACACACGACAGCAUGGGUAGGAUCUUAGAAGCACAAAUGUCGAGUGGGGAAUUCAAACUGAAUUCCCGAAGUAUGAAAUCAUUCUUAUAAAGCUCAGUAAGAAGUCAGUCUGCCUGAUGCACUUUCAGGAUGAUCUACACAGGCAGUAAGCCUAUUGUUUGGAAAGAAAAGCAGAGUGAGAGGGGGAGAGACCCAAACUUCAGGCUCCAGUGACCCCGAGGCAAGGGCGUGGGCUGGGGGGCGGCGCCUACCGUAGAGGUGAUGGCUGGUGAUGCUCUUCUGUGGCAGGAGGUGGCGCCAUAGGUGUGCCCAUAGUUAUGCUCCAUGACUUGCUAUGGCGCACACAUUCGUGGGCGCAUUAUAGCAAACGCCGCAUUAAAAAGAUAAGAAAGAGCACAAGGACCUGAGCUCAAAUGCAGACGCAGUGGUCCCCCCUUGUCCAUGGGGGUGGCUUCCGAGACCGCCCAGGGGAUGCCUGGAACCACAGAUAGUACUAAACUGCAUAAAUACUGCUCUUUCCUGUACACAGAAACCUAUAAUAAAGCUUAAUUUCUAAAUCAGGCAGCUUCACGGAGAGAAGGCUCGUUCUUCCUGUGGACCUUAGCAACCUCGGUGUGUGGUCUUUUUUCUCUCCUUGUUCAAUGGAGGCCCUCCACCUUUUCCCUUAAAGGAAGCGCUUUGUGGCGUCCCUCUGUCACAUCCAAACUGCCCGCGUCACUGCCCUCGUCACUGUGAUACCCUGACAGUCCCCGUGAUCACCGAGGCGGCUACCGAGUGACCAACAGGCCGGACACCUACGCUGGACAAAGAGAGAAAGGCUGAUCCACAUCCUGCGUGGGGCGGAGCACAGUGGCGGGACGGUUCAUCAUGCCACUCAGAACACACCCAAUUCAACUGAUGGACCGUUUAUUCCUCGAGUUUUCCACAAAACGUUUUUGGAUUGCAGUCGGUGGCAGGUGGCUGGAACCUCGGGAGGUGGAGCCGCAGGUGAGCAAGGACCACCGUAGAGUGAGAAUGAGACACAGAUCCCGGUUUUAAGGCCGUAGAAAUCACAGACCUGCGUGACCCGGGAGGAGCCAAGGUCAAGUACAAGGAUCUGGGAGGACCCGAAACAUCUGUCUCAGAAAAUAACGACCGAUCUGGAGGCGGCUUACAGGAAAAGCCCACCGUGCCUGCCACGGUAGCACAGAAAACCCGUCGAGUUCCGUGGCACCCAGGCCGUGGGACAGACUCCCAGCUGGGUGGGUGUGACUCGCCUGAACUCAGUCACGUACCAAUAUUUACGGAAAGCCCACUCCUCCGUGCCGGCCGGGGCACGAGGAACUCAGGAGGCAACGACAAACAAAACGUCCCUGGAACAAUGCACGAGGACGGCGGACACACCCAGGGUGUGAUCCAGUUUCGGGGACAGCGAGGGCAGAUUCCUGUACAAAGAAACGCGCAGCGGUGACAGCAGCUGGAAGGAGGGACUCUCCGACAAGUCGUGCCGAGACAGUGGACCGCCCGAGGGAAAGGCGAGUCCGGGUCUCUGCCU